AUACGGAGGGUGCAAGCGUUACUCGGAAUCACUGGGCGUAAAGGACGCGUAGGCGGGAUAGUAAGUCUGAUGUGAAAUCCUAUGGCUCAACCAUAGAACUGCAUUGGAAACUACUGACCUAGAGUAUGGGAGGGGGAGAUGGAAUUAGUAGUGUAGGGGUAAAAUCCGUAGAUAUUGCUAGGAAUACCGAAAGCGAAGGCGAUCUCCUGGAACAAUACUGACGCUAAGGCGUGAAAGCGUGGGGAGCAAACAGGAGUAGAUACCCUAGUAGUCC
rnacentral:rRNA from 1 species